rnacentral:rRNA from 1 species
AGUCGAGCGGAUGAAGGGAGCUUGCUCCUGGAUUCAGCGGCGGACGGGUGAGUAAUGCCUAGGAAUCUGCCUGGUAGUGGGGGAUAACGUCCGGAAACGGGCGCUAAUACCGCAUACGUCCUGAGGGAGAAAGUGGGGGAUCUUCGGACCUCACGCUAUCAGAUGAGCCUAGGUCGGAUUAGCUAGUUGGUGGGGUAAAGGCCUACCAAGGCGACGAUCCGUAACUGGUCUGAGAGGAUGAUCAGUCACACUGGAACUGAGACACGGUCCAGACUCCUACGGGAGGCAGCAGUGGGGAAUAUUGGACAAUGGGCGAAAGCCUGAUCCAGCCAUGCCGCGUGUGUGAAGAAGGUCUUCGGAUUGUAAAGCACUUUAAGUUGGGAGGAAGGGCAGUAAGUUAAUACCUUGCUGUUUUGACGUUACCAACAGAAUAAGCACCGGCUAACUUCGUGCCAGCAGCCGCGGUAAUACGAAGGGUGCAAGCGUUAAUCGGAAUUACUGGGCGUAAAGCGCGCGUAGGUGGUUCAGCAAGUUGGAUGUGAAAUCCCCGGGCUCAACCUGGGAACUGCAUCCAAAACUACUGAGCUAGAGUACGGUAGAGGGUGGUGGAA